rnacentral:rRNA from 1 species
GAUGAACGCUGGCGGCGUGCUUAACACAUGCAAGUCGAACGAAGCACUUUAUUUGAUUUCCUUCGGGACUGAUUAUUUUGUGACUGAGUGGCGGACGGGUGAGUAACGCGUGGGUAACCUGCCUUGUACAGGGGGAUAACAGUUGGAAACGGCUGCUAAUACCGCAUAAUCGCACGGCAUCGCAUGAUGCAGUGUGAAAAACUCCGGUGGUAUAAGAUGGACCCGCGUUGGAUUAGCUAGUUGGUGAGGUAACGGCCCACCAAGGCGACGAUCCAUAGCCGACCUGAGAGGGUGACCGGCCACAUUGGGACUGAGACACGGCCCAAACUCCUACGGGAGGCAGCAGUGGGGAAUAUUGCACAAUGGGCGAAAGCCUGAUGCAGCGACGCCGCGUGAGCGAAGAAGUAUUUCGGUAUGUAAAGCUCUAUCAGCAGGGAAGAUAAUGACGGUACCUGACGAAGAAGCACCGGCUAAAUACGUG